rnacentral:tRNA from 1 species
GCCCCAGCAGCCUAAUGGAUAAGGCAUCAGCCUCCUAAGCCAGGGAUUGUGGAUUCAAGUCCCACCCAGGGUA